UGAUUUUAAAAUGUUUUAUUUAUUAACAAUGAAUAAAAAUCAAGAUCAAAUAUUCAACAUCAACGGAAUAUAAAAAAGAAAUUAAUGAAGAAACAUUGAAAUCUUUUAGGUAAGAUACAUUUCCAAAUAUAUGGCUCUUGUCCUUUGUCUGCAAAUAAUGAACAACCCUUUCUGGUUGGCUAAAUGAAUCUCUCGACUAAUUCAUACAGCCUUAAAGAAUCACAUAGAGACGCCCAUCCAGUGAUUCUUUUCUUUACAUGGAUGAUGCGUCAAAUGCUUUCAAAGAAUAAACAUACCAAAGCUUUUUAAUGUCUCAACCUUAUUGCCAUUGCAAGGAAUUCACAUCUUGUGAAGAAGAUACAACUGAUCAUCAUAUAAAUGCAAGAAACUUUAACCGGGACACAAAUUUGCAGAAUUGAAACUCCAAUGAACAUAGAAAUACAUCAAAGUCAUUCAUCACCGUACUGUAAUAAAUUCAUAACUUUAGCAGGGGGCACAAAGUUGUAGAAUUGAAGCUCCAAUGAACAUAGGAAUGCAUCAAAGUCAUUCAUCACCGUACUGUAAUGAAUUUGUAACCUGCACAGAAGAUGCACCUGAUGAUUAUCAUUAUAUGAAUACAAGAAACUUCAGGGGAGAGAGACAAAUUUGUGGAAUUGAAGCUCCAAUGAACAUAGGAAUGCAUCAAAAUCACCCAUCACCAGAUGAAAUCCUGUCUGAAAAUAGUCCUCCCGGCACCUCAAGUGCACAAGACCACGCUCCAAUGAACAUAGGAAUGCAUCAAAGUCAUUCAUCACCGUACUGUAAUGAAUUUGUAACCUGCACAGAAGAUGCACCUGAUGAUUAUCAUUAUAUGAAUACAAGAAACUUCAGGGGAGAGAGACAAAUUUGUGGAAUUGAAGCUCCAAUGAACAUAGGAAUGCAUCAAAAUCACCCAUCACCAGAUGAAAUUAAAGCUUCCCCUCAUUGAAGAGUAUCAAAUUUGCCCCCCAAUCCCAUCACUAAAUACUCAGAUCUUCUUCUUCUUCUUUUCCACGACCUCACUCCUUCAAUGGUAU
rnacentral:lncRNA from 1 species